CGAUGUCACCUCCGGGUAGGAGUUCCAUUCAAGAAGAUGGAUCCGUUUAAGCCGCUAUUUCAUCAGCAUCUGGCACUGCUUGACUUGCUUUCACUGCUUUUUUGAGCUUGAACGUGGCACUCAAGCUUCCAUGUCAACUAAAGUCUGUCCUCCGUCAAAAUGAAAUGGCAAUAACUCGUUUCGUCGAUCAAGAAAUUCAACACUGGAGUGCAGCGCAGGGCUUCCACUCAAAGAGGAAGCCCCAGC
rnacentral:lncRNA from 1 species